rnacentral:tRNA from 1 species
GGAGGGGUGGCAGAGUCUGGCUGAAUGCACUGGUCUUGAAAACCAGCAAGGGUUUACGCCCUUCGGGGGUUCGAAUCCCUCCCCCUCCGCAA